rnacentral:lncRNA from 1 species
AUUUUCACCUCAAAAUGAGCCGCCACUGCAUAUUAUCUACUAUCUAUCUGUAUUGUCUAUCCGAUCUCAUUCACAUAACAGUUUGGUCCAUUUUCUUCUCUUCUUUUAGAACCACCUGAACCACAAAUCCGGUCUGACUGGACAGAAGCAUUUCCUGGUGAAAAAGUGUCUUUGCAGUGUGUGAUUCAAGGUGUUCCAGAAAAUUGGAAUUAUAUGUGGUUCAAGAACUCAAGCAAAAUCUUCUCUAGUGGUGACACAAACACAACAGGGAACACUCUCAUACUCUCAGUAAAGUCCAGUCAUUACGGGGCCUACAUGUGUCAAGCUGAGCUGCAGGGCAGAAAGGUGACGACUGCAAAAAGCACACCACAUUUGAUAACAGUCCAUGGAUCACAGCCAACAAUCCUUCUGCAGCAAGAUCCAUCACACCCAGCGAUCUACACUGGAGAACAAGUCAAACUCACUUGUAGCAUUCAAGAGAAGACUUCAAAAUGGCAAUAUUUUUGGCAAAAAGAUUCACAGCAAGUAAACACUGACAACAAUCCCAUUUACACUAUUCAAAAUGCUACAUGCUCUCAACAAGGGAAUUACACUUGUCAAGUAAGAAGGGGAGAGAUGACAUAUACAAAGUCUACAAUAUUGACAAUAAGAGAGCCACCUAAAUUAAAUCUGUCAAUAGAGUCUCAAUGGCAUAUGUUUUACCAAACUGAGAAAGUGACUCUGAAGUGUUCAGUUGAUGAAGAGUCAAAUAAAUGGGGCUAUGAAUGGUUUAAAAAUGGAGGUUUGCUUAAAGAGGAUAAGGACAUUUCCUUUUCUGGAAACACACUUUCGUUAUGCUGUUUAUCUGUGCAGAGCCACCUAAAUUAAAUCUGUCAAUAGAGUCUCAAUGGCAUAUGUUUUACCAAACUGAGAAAGUGACUCUGAAGUGUUCAGUUGAAUGAAGAGUCAAAUAAAUGGGGCUAUGAAUGGUUUAAAAAUGGAGGUUUGCUUAAAGAGGAUAAGGACAUUUCCUUUUCUGGAAACACACUUUCCAUCAGCUCAGCAAAAGCGGGUCAUUCAGGACAGUAUACCUGCAGAGGAAAACAUCUGACGAGAACAUCAGUGACUACAAGAGAAACUGAAGCUGUGCAACUUCAUAUUCAGGGUAAAACUACUUAUGAUAUUCUACUAUUAAUAGAUAUGAAUGAAAAAUGACAGGCACCAAGAGAGUCCUGUGAAAAAGCUGUUGAAUAUUUUGAACUGCUUUAAAAAUAUGAUUUUCUGUGAAAUAUCUGAAAGAAAGAGUUGCAGACGCCUUUAAAAUGCAUUUCAAUGAAGAAGCUGUAUCAGUGUACAGUGGUUCAUGUCUGCAUUUACAGUUUCCCGUCUACUUUCCUUGUCAGUGGUCAGACACUAUUAGCAGCAUGAUUCCGUUCAUUUACUUUUGGACAAUAUAUAAUAAAAAGCACAUGCAACUCAAGACAGUUUUUGUUUAAAGGUGGUUCACUGUUUCUAAUUUUUUACCUCUGUUGCUCCUAGACAAGAAACCAAAACCAACCAUCACAAAACAUGAGUGGUUUGAAUUCUUCUACACUGAGGAGCGAGUCCAGCUUAAAUGUAACAUGACAGGAGUAGGUUGGGAAUACAAGUGGUAUAAAGACUUAAACUUUCGGAUCACAAAUCCAGAAUUGACCAUCAACGCAGUAUCUCUGACUGACGCUGGUGACUAUUACUGCAAAGCACAGCGAGGAAACUUCUCAGUGGACAGUGAGACUCUACAAGUGCGAGUUCAGAGUGAGUUAGACCCUUCUGUCCAUAUAAAGUACCUUUGCGACCAUCUCAUUAUAACAAAUCAACAAAUUUAAAAUGAUUAGUUAACAUGUUAAAUGGACAGUUUCACCCAAAAUAACAUGACAAUUCUGUCAUCAUUUCACACUCAUGUCAUGUUGUUUUUUCGAUAUGUAUGACUUUCCUCUUAUGUGGAACACAAAAUAUAUUUUGAUAUUAAUUAAAAAAUGCACUAAUUUCUGUCCAUUCUGAAGUCAUUGGGGUCUAAUGUUGUUUUGUACGCCGUUGACUUUCAGAAUGUCUUCAUUAAAGGUAGGGUAGGCGAUUUCGGAAGGCUAGCAAUAGCAAGCUAGCUUUGAAAGCAUAAGAUCCCACCCUUUCUGCAAAUCACUUUCCAAAGCCAUGACUCCUCCAAAACACAUGAACGCUCACAGGCAGUGAAAUGUAACGCUGUCAGUUUACCUCAUGUCUUAUUCACCGGUGAGAAAUUAUUACAGUACAAAGCACAGAAUAUUAAAAAUAAUAAUGCCUUCCAUUUUUGAUAGGUCUGCUCUUGAUUUAUGCUCCUAUGCCUUCCACAGACAAUAUAAAUACAUAUAAAAAUUUAGAAGCAACUUAGUAACUUAGUGAUUGUAAAAACAAUUAUUGAAAUAGCCUGCUAAAUGCAAAAGAACAGCGAAACUUUGUUAACAACCAGAGUAUAGGCUAGGCAAUUUUCAGACACUCUGAAUUAUUUCGCACACAUAUGAAGUGCAAGAGGCAAAAUCAGAAUUUUAACGAUAAAGUUGAUAGAACUGAAAGUUCUAAAAAAAAAAAAAAAAAAAAAAAAGUCAUAGCGUAAGCUAACAUUGACCUCCAUUUGUUCUCGAAUUGACACCCCGUCAAGCGUCAAAGGAGCCAAAGAGGCCAAAGAGGCAAAAUACGC